CCUACGGGGGGCAGCAGUGGGGAAUAUUGGACAAUGGGGGCAACCCUGAUCCAGCCAUGCCGCGUGUGUGAAGAAGGCCCUCGGGUUGUAAAGCACUUUCAGUGAGGAAGAACGCCUGGUGGUUAAUACCCAUCAGGAAAGACAUCACUCACAGAAGAAGCACCGGCUAACUCCGUGCCAGCAGCCGCGGUAAUACGGAGGGUGCGAGCGUUAAUCGGAAUUACUGGGCGUAAAGCGCGCGUAGGUGGCUUGAUAAGCCGGUUGUGAAAGCCCCGGGCUCAACCUGGGAACGGCAUCCGGAACUGUCAAGCUAGAGUGCAGCAGAGGAAGGUAGAAUUCCCGGUGUAGCGGUGAAAUGCGUAGAGAUCGGGAAGAAUACCAGUGGCGAAGGCGGCCUUCUGGACUGACACUGACACUGAGGUGCGAAAGCGUGGGUAGCAAACAGGAUUAGAUACCCUGGUAGUC
rnacentral:rRNA from 1 species